rnacentral:misc_RNA from 1 species
AAGUCGUAACAAGGUAACCGUAGGUGAACCUGCGGUUGGAUCAUUAAAAAGGCCGCCCAUCUGGGCAUCAAUACUCGUAUUGAUGAUGCACAACCCUGUGCAGAGACCUUCUGUGAACUGUAAUCGUCUCUGGCGGAUGGGCAGUGAAACAUCUGCCUGUCAGCAUCGUCUCUGACGGUGCCGUGGACAACCCGCCAAAACAUCACUGUGUGAAUACAUCUGUUUUACUUUUCUGUCUGACAUCAACUUGUAUGAAUAUACAAAACAACUUUUGGCAACGGAUCUCUUGGCUCUC